AGAGUUUGAUCCUGGCUCAGGAUGAACGCUGACAGAAUGCUUAACACAUGCAAGUCUUUGGCGAAUCUGUGCUUGCACAGGCUAGCCAAGGCGGACGGGUGAGUAACGCGUAAAGAACUUGCCCUGCAGACAGGGAUAACAGACGGAAACGACUGACAACACCUGAUACAGUUGCCGGCACGCAUGUGCCUGGCAAUGAAAAGAGAUGCUGCGGGAGAGCUUUGCGUCCUAUUAGCUUGUUGGCGGGGUAACGGCCCACCAAGGCGAUGAUAGGUAGCCGGCCUGAGAGGGUGGACGGCCACAAGGGGACUGAGAUACGGCCCUUACUCCUACGGGAGGCAGCAGUGGGGAAUAUUGGACAAUGGGGGCAACCCUGAUCCAGCAAUUCUGUGUGCACGAAGAAGGUUUUCGGAUUGUAAAGUGCUUUCAGCAGGGAAGAAAAAAAUGACGGUACCUGCAGAAGAAGCGACGGCUAAAUACGUGCCAGCAGCCGCGGUAAUACGUAUGUCGCGAGCGUUAUCCGGAAUUAUUGGGCAUAAAGGGCAUCUAGGCGGCCGGAUAAGUCUGGGGUGAAAACUUGCGGCUCAACCGCAAGCCUGCCCUGGAAACUAUGUGGCUAGAGUACUGGAGAGGUGGACGGAACUGCACGAGUAGAGGUGAAAUUCGUAGAUAUGUGCAGGAAUGCCGAUGAUGAAGAUAGUUCACUGGACGGUAACUGACGCUGAAGUGCGAAAGCUAGGGGAGCAAACAGGAUUAGAUACCCUGGUAGUCCUAGCUGUAAACGAUGAUUACUGGGUGUGGGCAUGAAGAGUGUCCGUGCCGAAGCUAAUGCGAUAAGUAAUCCGCCUGGGGAGUACGGCCGCAAGGCUGAAACUCAAAGGAAUUGACGGGGACCCGCACAAGCGGUGGAGCAUGU
rnacentral:rRNA from 1 species